rnacentral:rRNA from 1 species
CCUACGGGUGGCAGCAGUGGGGAAUAUUGGACAAUGGGGGCAACCCUGAUCCAGCCAUGCCGCGUGUGUGAAGAAGGCCCUCGGGUUGUAAAGCACUUUCAGUGAGGAAGAACGCCUGGUGGUUAAUACCCAUCAGGAAGGACAUCACUCACAGAAGAAGCACCGGCUAACUCCGUGCCAGCAGCCGCGGUAAUACGGAGGGUGCGAGCGUUAAUCGGAAUUACUGGGCGUAAAGCGCGCGUAGGUGGCUUGAUAAGCCGGUUGUGAAAGCCCCGGGCUCAACCUGGGAACGGCAUCCGGAACUGUCAAGCUAGAGUGCAGGAGAGGAAGGUAGAAUUCCCGGUGUAGCGGUGAAAUGCGUAGAGAUCGGGAGGAAUACCAGUGGCGAAGGCGGCCUCCUGGACUGACACUGACACUGAGGUGCGAAAGCGUGGGUAGCAAACAGGAUUAGAUACCCCAGUAGUC